ensembl:lncRNA
UGUGUGUGCGCGUGUGUGUGUGUGCGCGUGUGUGUGUGUGCGCGUGUGUGUGUGUGCGCGUGUGUGUGUGUGUGUGUGUGUGCGCGCACGUGUGUGUGUGUGUGUGCGCGCGCGUGUGUGUGUGUGUGUGUGCGUGUGUGUUGCAGAAACUCAGUAUAUAGCUUGCUCCUUCGUCGGCCCUCUCAGGAACAGAGUAUGUUUUGGGUGGAAUCCAAUACCAGCCCCACUGAUGGCCUCAAAACAGACUCAUCCAAUCCCUCACCCAGUAUACCCAGUGAGCCCCAGUGCCCUGACUCAAACCAUGCUCUUCUCGCCCUUGAAGUGGCCCCUGCUGAUCUUCCUGAGAGGAUGGGUCCCACUGCACCGCGCUGUAAGCAGCUGUGCGACAGCUGCCGAUCCCCCGCUUCCGCUCUGCCCAGCGGGAAAAAGGAAAAAUGCUUCUCGGCCACGUUGCCCAUUGACCACAAGGAGGACCGAGCCGCCCGCCUCAAGCAGGAGAACCUGACGCUGGCCGAAGAGGUCAAAGCCCAGAAGGAACUGGUGUGGCUGCUGCACCAGGCCCUGGAGGCGGCGCAGA